AGAGUUUGAUCCUGGCUCAGGAUGAACGCUGGCGGCGUGCUUAACACAUGCAAGUCGAACGAAGCACCUUGAUUUGAUUCUUCGGAUGAAGAUCCUGGUGACUGAGUGGCGGACGGGUGAGUAACGCGUGGGUAACCUGCCUCAUACAGGAGGAUAACAGUUAGAAAUGACUGCUAAUACCGCAUAAGACCACGGAGCCGCAUGGCUCAGUGGGAAAAACUCCGGUGGUAUGAGAUGGACCCGCGUCUGAUUAGGUAGUUGGUGGGGUAACGGCCUACCAAGCCAACGAUCAGUAGCCGACCUGAGAGGGUGACCGGCCACAUUGGGACUGAGACACGGCCCAAACUCCUACGGGAGGCAGCAGUGGGGAAUAUUGCACAAUGGGGGAAACCCUGAUGCAGCGACGCCGCGUGAGCGAAGAAGUAUUUCGGUAUGUAAAGCUCUAUCAGCAGGGAAGAAAAUGACGGUACCUGACUAAGAAGCACCGGCUAAAUACGUGCCAGCAGCCGCGGUAAUACGUAUGGUGCAAGCGUUAUCCGGAUUUACUGGGUGUAAAGGGAGCGUAGACGGCUGUGUAAGUCUGAAGUGAAAGCCCGGGGCUCAACCCCGGGACUGCUUUGGAAACUAUGCAGCUAGAGUGUCGGAGAGGUAAGUGGAAUUCCCAGUGUAGCGGUGAAAUGCGUAGAUAUUGGGAGGAACACCAGUGGCGAAGGCGGCUUACUGGACGAUGACUGACGUUGAGGCUCGAAAGCGUGGGGAGCAAACAGGAUUAGAUACCCUGGUAGUCCACGCCGUAAACAAUGACUACUAGGUG
rnacentral:rRNA from 1 species